AAGUCUUUAUUAACCAUAGACAGUAAAAUUAAUGGACAAAGCGACGCCAUAGACUUCCACGGAGACCAGUGAAGUCAAUUAGAAGCAAUCUUCCGGUGAUGGCUGA